rnacentral:rRNA from 1 species
UGCGCAGGCGGACUUUUAAGUCAGUGGUGAAAUCCCGAGGCUCAACCUCGGAACUGCCAUUGAUACUGGAAGUCUUGGAUUUGGUUGAAGUGGGCGGAAUGUAGCAUGUAGCGGUGAAAUGCUUAGAUAUGCUACAGAACACCGAUCGCGAAGGCAGCUCACUAAGCCAAUAUUGACGCUCAGGCACGAAAGCGUGGGGAGCAAACAGGAUUAGAUACCCUGGUAGUCC